rnacentral:rRNA from 1 species
UACAAGUUACCCGGAGGGGAAGUUGAAAAAGCACUUUGAAAAGAGAGUGCAAGAGAACGUGAAACCGACAUAAUGGAAACGGAUGGAGCUGACGUAUCAGGUACGGGUUCAGUUCGGCGGCGUUGCGAUCGUUUCGACGGCAUUCCGCAAGGUUGUCUAGGUAGCGUUGUCGUUGCGCUCGUCGAGUGCAUUUGCGUACGGAGUGCGCCGAGUGGGUCGAUGCCGCUGCUUGAGGGGCGUAUAGAGGACUCGGGUCUUCGGGCUCGAGAAUCCUGUGCGCUCGGAUAGCGGGUGGUGUUGGCUCGUCGACGGUGUGGGAGAAUUCGCGAUUGGCGGCUGUUGUGCGAGUGAUCGGUGGACGACACAUGUGUCUGCUGCUGGACGUUUGUGCGGUUGUUGUCGAUUGCCCUCACGCUCGACUCGGUGUAUAGUCGGUCACCCAUUUGACCCGUCUUGAAACACGGACCAAGGAGUUUAAGGUGUACGCGAGUCAUUGGGCUGCGAAACUCAAAGGCGUAAUGAAAGUGAGACACUUGGUGUUUGGGAUGUGAGCGGGGAGCGUUUCGACGUUCUUCGUGCAACAUCGCCCCGUGAUUAGGACUUGUCCUGUUGCGGAGGCCGAGCGUACGCUUUGAGACCCGAAAGAUGGUGAACUAUGCCCGAACAGGAUGAAGCCAGAGGAAACUCUGGUGGAAGUCCGAAGCGGUUCUGACGUGCAAUCGAUCGUCUGAUUUGGGUAUAGGGGCGCAAGACUAAUCGAACAUCUAGUAGCUGGUUCCUUCCGAACUCUAGAACUA